GAUGGACGCUGGCGGCGUGCCUAAUACAUGCAAGUCGAGCGAACAGAUGAGGAGCUUGCUCCUCUGACGUUAGCGACGGACGGGUGAGUAACACGUGGAUAACCUACCUAUAAGACUGGGAUAACUUCGGGAAACCGGAGCUAAUACCGGAUAAUAUAUUGAACCGCAUGGUUCAAUAGUGAAAGACGGUUUUGCUGUCACUUAUAGAUGGAUCCGCGCCGCAUUAGCUAGUUGGUAAGGUAACGGCUUACCAAGGCAACGAUGCGUAGCCGACCUGAGAGGGUGAGCGGCCACAGUGGAACGACGACGCGGAGAGGAGUACGAGGGGAGGGAGAAGUCGGGAUUUGGACGAAGUGGGGGGAAGCCUGACGAAACGGUGCGGGGGGAGAGAUAAAUGUGUAGGGAUCGAAAAACUUUUUUAUGAGGGAAAAAAAAAGGUCAAGGGAAAUCUGCGCGCCUGGAGGGGCCAUAAUCAAGAAGCACCGGCUAACUGCGGC
rnacentral:rRNA from 1 species